rnacentral:lncRNA from 13 species
UCGUUUCCCUUUGAUCCUGUAAUGCAAAACAGCUCUAUGGGCUCUCUGCCGGGUGCUGGGGAAUGCUCUGGGCUGCCAUCUAGGGGGCGACUGUUGAGAUGCACCUGGUCCCUCUGACUUGGGUGAAGAGGUGGAAGGUGACAUACUGCCAUCUAGUGUCCGACAGUCCAUAAUGCCUAGGGCCAUUACAAGUCUUGAUUAUUAACAUACUAUCCUGUAGUCUCAGAAUAACUGUGUGAGCUAGGCAAUGGUUACUGUGACAUGAAUUUUGUAAUUCUUCUUUUACAGAUGAGGAAAUAGUCCUAAAAGCCGCAUAGUCAGUGGAAGAGCUGAGCCUGGAAACUGGUCCUGCUGACUUCAUCAUACUGUGGUUUAGGUCCUGCCAUAUGUGGCUGCUUGCUGUGAAAUGCAUCAUAUGCAUGCCCAGCUACCCAUCUCAUUGUUGAGAAAACUGCUUGUCAUUCACUCUUAAUCUAUUGGCUUUGGAUGGAGUUCACUGCAACCCUAGUUCCAUGGCCAGUUCCUGUAUUGUGAGCUGCCCUACAAAGAAAAACUCAUGGAAAGGAACCAAGAGAAGCCUCAGACCAACAACCCAUGAGGAAUUGAGACCCUUAGUCCAACAGCCCAUGAAGAACUGAAUCCUGCCAACAAGAUGAGUGAGCUUAGAAGCGAACCUGUCCCCAGGUAAGCCUUGAGAUGCCCAGAACCAGAGGAUACACCUAUGCUGUUCCCACAGUCUUGACCCAAUGACACUAUGAGAUAAUAAAUUUUUUUUUUUUUUGAGACGGAGUUUCGCU